GAGUUAUCUGAACCUUCGGGGAACGAUAACGGCGNCNAGNGNCGGACGGGUGAGUAAUGCCUAGGAAAUUGCCUUGAUGUGGGGGAUAACCAUUGGAAACGAUGGCUAAUACCGCAUGAUGCCUACGGGCCAAAGAGGGGGACCUUCGGGCCUCUCGCGUCAAGAUAUGCCUAGGUGGGAUUAGCUAGUUGGUGAGGUAAUGGCUCACCAAGGCGACGAUCCCUAGCUGGUCUGAGAGGAUGAUCAGCCACACUGGAACUGAGACACGGUCCAGACUCCUACGGGAGGCAGCAGUGGGGAAUAUUGCACAAUGGGCGCAAGCCUGAUGCAGCCAUGCCGCGUGUAUGAAGAAGGCCUUCGGGUUGUAAAGUACUUUCAGCAGUGAGGAAGGGGNUGUCGUUAAUAGCGGCNUNNCUUGACGUUAGCUGCAGAAGAAGCACCGGCUAACUCCGUGCCAGCAGCCGCGGUAAUACGGAGGGUGCGAGCGUUAAUCGGAAUUACUGGGCGUAAAGCGCAUGCAGGUGGUUUGUUAAGUCAGAUGUGAAAGCCCGGGGCUCAACCUCGGAACUGCAUUUGAAACUGGCAAACUAGAGUACUGUAGAGGGGGGUAGAAUUUCAGGUGUAGCGGUGAAAUGCGUANAGAUCUGAAGGAAUANNAGUGGCGAAGGCGGCCCCCUGNNCAGAUACUGACACUCAGAUGCGAAAGCGUGGGGAGCAAACAGGAUUANAUACCCUGGNAGUCCACGCCGUAAACGAUGUCUA
rnacentral:rRNA from 1 species